rnacentral:rRNA from 1 species
ACGGAGGGUGCAAGCGUUAAUCGGAAUUACUGGGCGUAAAGCGCGCGUAGGUGGUUUGAUAAGCGAGAUGUGAAAGCCCCGGGCUCAACCUGGGAACGGCAUUUCGAACUGUCAGGCUAGAGUGUGGUAGAGGGUAGUGGAAUUUCCUGUGUAGCGGUGAAAUGCGUAGAUAUAGGAAGGAACACCAGUGGCGAAGGCGGCUACCUGGACCAACACUGACACUGAGGUGCGAAAGCGUGGGGAGCAAACAGG